GAGGUUAGAUUGGUACUUUACAUGAAGUCUUAAUUUCUCACAUCAAGUUUGGUUCUCUGUGAUAUUGAAACUGUUGAUGUCUGUUUUUUUACUGCCCAAUUUUUCUGAUUUUUUCACCAUGUUUCUUCAGAUAGGAUCUAAACAAAGCCCCUACUAAUAUUGAGGUUGUAGUGGUCCACAGAUGAUGACACGGAUGCAUCUAUUGACAACAUGGAAGAGGAGGGUAGAUAUCAUGGAUGGGAAUGCGGCUACAUGGUUCUCCAACAUAUGUCUGACUUUGUCAAUUUGUAUCAAAACCAGUUUCCCGAGGAAUUGUGGCACGACACGAGAGAGGCUAUGGAUAAUGAAAUAGAUGUUUUGUUGAUGACGUUGAUGCCGAAGUUUUUUAGCGAGUUAGGUAUUUUGCUAGAUUAGCGUAUGUAGUUUAUUUAUACAAUUUAACAUAGUUUGUUAUGCAUUCACAAAUGAUUGUAGUUUGACGGGUUUAUCUCCGAAUUGGAUGUCUACGGGUUUAUUUUGGAUUUGAAUAUGUAUUGUUUUGGUUUGA